AGUAGUUUUCUAGCCCAACUUUUAGAAAAUAAUUUUGAGAUCAAAAAUAAUUUUAAGCUCAGUAAAAUAUUUGAAAAUAAGCAGUGAAAAUUCUGAUUCUAUUUUUCAAAAUCAGAAAAUUAAUUUUCAAGGCCCUAGAAUGAAGCUUCUCCAAAACUAAUUCCCGUAAAAUUAGUUUUGCCAUUUUAUAAUUUUAUCAAAAAUACCCAAACUACCCUUAAACAAAUAACAUAAUUCUCCUCUAUCCUAGUAUCUAUCUAUAAAUAUAAUACUUCGGUUGGGCCAACUCUUUUUUUUUUUCAGCGCGGGUGGGUGUAGCGCAAGCGAGGGCGGGCAUGGGCGCGGGUCGCGCGCACGUGGCAGCACGAGCAGGCGCGAGUGCACGAGGGGCGCGAGCGGGUGCCCGGCACGGGUCGCGCGUAUAUAGCAGCGUG
rnacentral:lncRNA from 1 species